GCGACCGAUAUAUGCAGAGAACCACGUGGAGGAAAGGCACGCGAGUUUGGAGGGGGUGGAGCACCUGAAUAUGACACGACGGGACAGCUGGAAGGUGUUGGGAAGACCCUCACGCUGCGCCGUGUGCAGGUGCUCCUGUCUCAGUGGACGGAUGUGUGGAGAGGGGCUUCUUUCUCUUUCUACUGAGCAAGGAUUCCACGCCCUAAGCAGCUGUAAGCUGACGGGGCAUUUCUGAGAACAUCCAGACCCCAGAAGGCAGACUCCGUGCCUUCGUGCCUGUUAGCACGUUCUGGAACCGGCGCCAUGCGGCUUGGCCCACACAUGGGGCAGGUGAGUCCACAGAGAGGGA